GACGAACGCUGGCGGCGUGCUUAACACAUGCAAGUCGAACGAAGAGCGACGGAAGCUUGCUUCUAUCACUCUUAGUGGCGCACGGGUGAGUAACGCGUAAUCAACCUGCCCUUCAGAGGGGGACAACAGUUGGAAACGACUGCUAAUACCGCAUACGAUCUAACCUCGGCAUCGAGGAUAGAUGAAAGGUGGCCUCUACAUGUAAGCUAUCACUGAAGGAGGGGAUUGCGUCUGAUUAGCUAGUUGGAGGGGUAACGGCCCACCAAGGCGAUGAUCAGUAGCCGGUCUGAGAGGAUGAACGGCCACAUUGGGACUGAGACACGGCCCAGACUCCUACGGGAGGCAGCAGUGGGGAAUCUUCCGCAAUGGACGAAAGUCUGACGGAGCAACGCCGCGUGAGUGAUGACGGCCUUCGGGUUGUAAAGCUCUGUUAAUCGGGACGAAAGGCCUUCUUGCGAAUAGGGAGAAGGAUUGACGGUACCGGAAUAGAAAGCCACGGCUAACUACGUG
rnacentral:rRNA from 1 species